rnacentral:piRNA from 1 species
UCAGCCGCCGCACCUCCAUCUUCCCUCCUC